CCUUGCUGCCUUUCUUGGACGUUUCCUCCCUAAACUUGAGCCUGCCCUCCGGGGCAGGCUUUUUUUCGCAGUUUU
rnacentral:sRNA from 1 species